AUGGAGCUCCGCCUCCGCGCCCCGGCGUCCCCCGCUUCCGCCUCUCCGCGCGGCACGUCGGUCUCCCCCAGCCCCAGGCCGCAUCCGCGCCUACCCUCGCAACCCAUUCAGAAGCGAUUGUCCGGCAGCGCCGUCUCCGUCUCCAGGCGAGGCACCGCGGCAAGGAGCAGCCUGUGUUCCGCCCUGAUGGCGGCAUCAUACAACACAGGAACUCCGGACCUAGUCGACUUCGACUGGGAGACUCUUGGAUUUCAACUGGUCCCGACGGACUUUAUGUAUAUAAUGAAAUGUUCGUCAGAUGGAGUGUUCACCAAGGGUGAAUUGGUUCCGUAUGGGCCAAUCGAGCUGAACCCUGCUGCUGCAGUUUUAAAUUACGGCCAGGGAUUGCUCGAAGGUCUUAGAGCACACAGAAAGGAGGAUGGUUCGGUAAUUGUUUUUCGCCCCGAGGAAAACGCGUUGCGGAUGAGGAUAGGUGCACAUCGGCUAUGCAUGCCUGCACCAAGCGUUGAGCAGUUCCUAUCAGGUGUCAAGCAAACUAUAUUGGCAAACAAGCGUUGGGUACCCCCCACUGGCAAAGGUUCUUUAUAUAUCAGGCCGCUGCUGAUUGGAAGUGGAGCUAUGCUAGGUGUAGCACCUGCCCCGGAGUAUACAUUUGUCGUCUAUGUUUGCCCAGUUGGUCACUAUUUCAAGGAUGGCCUGUCACCAAUUAGCUUACUGACUGAGGAAGAAUAUCACCGCGCUGCACCUGGUGGAACUGGUGAUAUCAAGACAAUUGGAAAUUAUGCUUCGGUUGUUAGUGCUCAGAGAAGAGCCAAGGAGAAAGGUCAUUCUGAUGUUCUUUACUUGGAUCCCGUGCAUAAGAAGUUUGUGGAGGAAGUUUCUUCCUGUAAUAUAUUCAUGGUGAAGGAUAAUGUUAUUUCUACUCCACUAUUAACGGGAACAAUCCUUCCUGGAAUCACAAGAAGAAGUAUAAUCGAAAUUGCCAGCAAUCUUGGAAUUCAGGUUGAAGAGCGCCUUAUUGCGAUAGAUGAGUUGCUUGAUGCUGAUGAAGUCUUCUGUACAGGGACUGCCGUUGUACUAUCACCUGUUGGUUCCAUAGUGUACCACGGAAGAAGAGUGGAGUAUGGGGGCGGGAAGGUCGGAGCUGUGUCCCAGCAACUGUACUCAGCACUUACAGCUAUCCAGAAAGGCCUUGUGGAGGACAGUAUGGGAUGGAGUGUGCAAUUGAAUUAG
rnacentral:rRNA from 1 species